AUGAACGCUAGCUACAGGCUUAACACAUGCAAGUCGAGGGGCAGCAUGGUCUUAGCUUGCUAAGACUGAUGGCGACCGGCGCACGGGUGAGUAACACGUAUCCAACCUGCCGUCUACUCUUGGACAGCCUUCUGAAAGGAAGAUUAAUACAAGAUGGCAUCAUGAGUCCGCAUGUUCACAUGAUUAAAGGUAUUCCGGUAGACGAUGGGGAUGCGUUCCAUUAGAUAGUAGGCGGGGUAACGGCCCACCUAGUCUUCGAUGGAUAGGGGUUCUGAGGGGAAGGUCCCCCACAUUGGAACUGAGACACGGUCCAAACUCCUACGGGAGGCAGCAGUGAGGAAUAUUGGUCAAUGGGCGAGAGCCUGAACCAGCCAAGUAGCGUGAAGGAUGACUGCCCUAUGGGUUGUAAACUUCUUUUAUAAAGGAAUAAAGUCGGGUAUGGAUACCCGUUUGCAUGUACUUUAUGAAUAAGGAUCGGCUAACUCCGUGCCAGCAGCCGCGGUAAUACGGAGGAUCCGAGCGUUAUCCGGAUUUAUUGGGUUUAAAGGGAGCGUAGAUGGAUGUUUAAGUCAGUUGUGAAAGUUUGCGGCUCAACCGUAAAAUUGCAGUUGAUACUGGAUAUCUUGAGUGCAGUUGAGGCAGGCGGAAUUCGUGGUGUAGCGGUGAAAUGCUUAGAUAUCACGAAGAACUCCGAUUGCGAAGGCAGCCUGCUAAGCUGCAACUGACAUUGAGGCUCGAAAGUGUGGGUAUCAAACAGGAUUAGAUACCCUGGUAGUCCACACGGUAAACGAUGAAUACUCGCUGUUUGCGAUAUACUGCAAGCGGCCAAGCGAAAGCGUUAAGUAUUCCACCUGGGGAGUACGCCGGCAACGGUGAAACUCAAAGGAAUUGACGGGGGCCCGCACAAGCGGAGGAACAUGUGGUUUAAUUCGAUGAUACGCGAGGAACCUUACCCGGGCUUAAAUUGCAGAUGAAUUACGGUGAAAGCCGUAAGCCGCAAGGCAUCUGUGAAGGUGCUGCAUGGUUGUCGUCAGCUCGUGCCGUGAGGUGUCGGCUUAAGUGCCAUAACGAGCGCAACCCUUGUUGUCAGUUACUAACAGGUUCCGCUGAGGACUCUGACAAGACUGCCAUCGUAAGAUGUGAGGAAGGUGGGGAUGACGUCAAAUCAGCACGGCCCUUACGUCCGGGGCUACACACGUGUUACAAUGGGGGGUACAGAGGGCCGCUACCACGCGAGUGGAUGCCAAUCCCCAAAACCUCUCUCAGUUCGGACUGGAGUCUGCAACCCGACUCCACGAAGCUGGAUUCGCUAGUAAUCGCGCAUCAGCCACGGCGCGGUGAAUACGUUCCCGGGCCUUGUACACACCGCCCGUCAAGCCAUGGGAGCCGGGGGUACCUGAAGUGCGUAACCGCGAGGAGCGCCCUAGGGUAAAACUGGUGACUGGGGCU
rnacentral:rRNA from 1 species